GCUGAUCGAUAUCUUGGUAAAAUAUUCAUUUUUAAACUAGCGGGCAGUGAAAUCUUUGCUUUGUGUGCUAAAGUCAACAGUCGCUCGGUUUGAGCUCAAAUAAAUGCGGAGAUGCCUCGGCUCAGAGCAGUCGGCCACCUCCCUUCGAGCGCUGGACGCUCCGCCGCCCGCCAGCCCGCCGCACCACAGUGUCACUAAAAUCGGACGUGCUUCAGAAACUGAGCGGCACCGCUUUUCUUCCGAAAUGAGCCCCACACCACAGGCUGCCAGGUUCUUCUCCCUGGAUCAAGACUAGCUCAACUAUGGCUGAGAAAACAACCCAUGUUCCCCAGAGUUUAAAACCUGCCCAUAAGUUGUGGUCGUGUUUUGGAGAUUCGGGAUCCUAUUUCCAAGGAGAGUUGUCCGGGGCGUGUUUAUGUUUGUUAUUUUCAAAACCAAGCAAAGGAAA